UACGUAGGGUGCAAGCGUUAAUCGGAAUUACUGGGCGUAAAGCGUGCGCAGGCGGUUCGUUGUGUCGGCGGUGAAAGCCCCGGGCUUAACCUGGGAAUGGCCGUUGAAACUGGCGAACUGGAGUGUGGCAGAGGGGGGUGGAAUUCCGCGUGUAGCAGUGAAAUGCGUAGAGAUGCGGAGGAACACCGAUGGCGAAGGCAAUCCCCUGGGCCUGCACUGACGCUCAUGCACGAAAGCGUGGGGAGCAAACAGG
rnacentral:rRNA from 1 species